GGCGGGUCCCUUCGCAUGGCCCGGCGGUGAACCUGGUCAGGUCGGGAACGAAGCAGCCACAGCCGUGCAGGGUCAGUGCCGAAGUAAGGCUCGCCUCU
rfam:Candidimonas nitroreducens strain SC-089 Scaffold4_2, whole genome shotgun sequence.